rnacentral:rRNA from 1 species
ACGGGAGGCAGCAGUAGGGAAUCUUCCGCAAUGGACGAAAGUCUGACGGAGCAACGCCGCGUGAGUGAUGAAGGCUUUCGGGUCGUAAAACUCUGUUGUUAGGGAAGAACAAGUGCUAGUUGAAUAAGCUGGCACCUUGACGGUACCUAACCAGAAAGCCACGGCUAACUACGUGCCAGCAGCCGCGGUAAUA